rnacentral:rRNA from 1 species
AGGAUGGCCCGCCGCACUGGGACUGAACACUGCCCAACUCCUACGGGAGGCUGCAGUCGAGAUCAUUCGCAAUGCGCGAAAGCGUGACGAUGCGACGCUGCGUGGAGGAAUGAACGGCCCUAGGGGUUGUANAACUCCUGUCAUGAGGGAGAAGCCGGCGACGGGUUAAUAAGCCCGCCGCCCCUGAUAGUACCUCAAGAGGAAGCCACGGCUAACUCUGUGCCAGCAGCCGCGUGUAAUACAGAGGUGGCUAGCGUUGUUCGGAUUUACUGGGCGUAAAGCGUGCGUAGGCGGUCGAGUAAGUCGGAUGUGAAAGCCCGGGGCCCAACCCCGGAAUUGCGUCCGAAACUGCCCGACUUGAGUGCAGGAUGGGAGAGGGGAAUUCAUGGAGUAGCGGUGGAAUGCGUUGAUAUCAUGAAGAACACCGGUGGCGAAGGCGCCUCUCUGGAAUGCAACUGACGCUGGAGCACGAAAGCAUGGGGAGCGAACAGGAUUAGAUACCCUGGUAGUCCAUGCCGUAAACGGUGCGCACUUGGUGUUGGAAGGGUCAGCCCUUUCAGUGCCGGAGCUAACGCGUUAAGUGCGCCGCCUGGGGAGUACGGCCGCAAGGCUAAAACUCAAAGAAAUUGACGGGGGCCCGCACAAGCGGAGGAGCAUGUGGCUUAAUUCGAUGCAACGCGAAGAACCUUACCCAGGCUUGAUAUAUAACUGCAAGUCCUGUGAAAGCAGGAUUCCUUCGAGGGUGUUAUACAGGUGCUGCAUGGCUGUCGUCAGUUCGUGCCGUGAGGUGUUUGGUUAAGUCCAGCAACGAACGCAACCCCUGUGUCCAGUUGCCAUCAGGUAAUGCUGGGAACUCUGGACAGACUGCCUGUGCAAUCAGGAGGAAGGUGGGGACGACGUCAAGUCAGUAUGGCCCUUACGCCUGGGGCUGCACACGUGCUACAAUGGCCGGUACAGAAGGAUGCAACACCGCGAGGUUGAGCAAAUCCCCAAAGCCGGCCCCAGUUCGGAUUGAAGUCUGCAACUCGACUUCAUGAAGUUGGAUUCGCUAGUAACGGCGUGUCAGCUACGACGCCGUGAAUACGUUCCCGGGCCUUGUACACACCGCCCGUCACAUCAUGAAAGCCGUCUGCACCCGAAGUCGUUA